GAAAAUUCUGAAUCUGUCGAUUCUAUGGAGAAGGAAAUGAGAGAAGAUUGACUGGAAAGCACGAAACUGACAAUAUCAACGCAUUUUCUAGGGGCGUGACACUGAGAAGAACGGCAAAGCAUGGCUGGAAGAUUUUCCAGGUUGAGUGGUUGCUUUAAUCUGCAGAAUGUUUAUUGCAUCAUGAUGCGGUGAAUUUCUCAUUCACCUUCCCAUGCCCUUUAUAUUUAUGAAACAAGUGCACACACAAAC